UAGCCGUAAACGAUACUCGCUAGGUGUCGGCCACGGUGCGACCGUUGUCGGUGCCGUAGGGAAGCCGUGAAGCGAGCCACCUGGGAAGUACGGCCGCAAGGCUGAAACUUAAAGGAAUUGGCGGGGGAGCACAACAACGGGUGGAGCUUGCGGUUUAAUUGGACUCAACGCCGGGAAGCUCACCGGAUAAGACAGCGGAAUGAUUGCCGGGCUGAAGACCCUGCAUGACCAGCUGAGAGGUGGUGCAUGGCGUAGUCGUGU
rnacentral:rRNA from 1 species